AGGGGGCGGGGACCUGGGGCGCGCGCGGGCGCCGGCCGGGGUUCAGCCCGCAGGUGGAGGUCUCUCAGGUAGCUGGCUAGCGAUCUGGAAGACCCGGGGCUGGCGUCUCCGGGGGUGGGAGAGGAUGUGGCUGGGGUCCCGCGACACAGGGGUUCCGCAGGGGCCGAGGUCACGCGGGCAGAUGCAAGGAGAGGCGAGGGACCCGCAGGUCAGGAAAAGAAGAUCCUGAGUGGCCAAGCGAACGGAGCAGCCUCCACCCGCGUCUCCUGCCGCUCAGCCCGGCUCCCUGGUACUCCUGGCUCCCGACAGGCUUCUUCCCAACGCCCAGCGCGCCCGGGAGUUUUCCAGCCCCGGGGACCCUGCAGCGCCUUGGAUAGAUCUCCGUGAAAUCAGAGGCAGGAUCUUGCUGUGUUGCCCUGGCUGGUCUCAAACUCCUGGCCUCAAGCAAUCCUUCUGCCUUGGCCUCCCCAAAUAGUGGGAUUACAGGGUCUUCCUGACACCCAGGCUGAAGUAUAGCAACAUGAUCAUAGCUCACUGCAGUCUUAAACUUCUGGGCUCAAGCGAUCCUACAAGUAGCUGGGACUACAGGCGAAUCCUGGAGAAGAGGCCCCAGGAAGUAUGGACUGGAAGACUGGGGAGGCAGGCCCUCCAAGAAGACAGUAGCAUCCCCUGAUGUGGCAUCCACCUUCCUCUAGUGUUUGAGAUGUGGGUGUUCCACAUCUCAAUGCAAGUUGGCAUUGGAAGGAAAUCCCUAUCUGGCUCUUGUGCUACCAUAGACCUGGGACCCUGGAACAAUGCUCUUGUCUUCAGCCCCUCUUCAGCUUUCCCAUUGUCCAAUCCAAGCCUUUUCCAUUUUGGCUCUACAAUGGAUUCUAAGGAUAGAGAAUGGGAUAAUUGGGGAUAUAUGAUUGUCUCCUGAAUCCAAGCCUAUUAAUAUAUCCUUCUAAAGGCAUUGUUCCUACUGACUACCCCAAAGAACUGGAUUCCAUGAGUGUCUAGCAAGUGACUAAGAUUCCAAUUUAGGCCUUCUCUUCUAAGAGCCAGUACCUGGAUAAAAGGCAAAAUUCAACCUGAUAGUCUCCUAUAGCAGUUUAGGGAACCACAACUUGUCAGGAAUACAGGACGGCAGGAUUUUUGUUAGGCCUCAGGUAACACCGCUGCCUAGGCCUUGCUGUGUCCAGGGAUGCCAGAGGACUUGUUUCCUUAGCUACAAUAACCACGUGACAGGAACACACAGAGAUUCGGAGAUGUUGCUUAGCAACCGUGCUGCACCUGCUGGGGCUCUGGGCCAGCAGCUUGGGCCAGGGAGCCUGGCUUUGAACUUGGAAACUCCCAUAAGGGCUGUCAAAAGGAGGAAGACCUAAUUUGGGGAGACUGUUUUGGCCCUGGGCUUUUGCAGAGAUGGUAAAGAUACAGAUGGGGAACUGAGGCAGAGGGAACUGGCUUUCCCAUAGUAAUGGAGAAGGGUGGUGGGUGUGGGAAGAGCAGGACUAGUGGGCAGAGACAGACUGUUGGGCUGAUGUGGGUAGCAGUUCCCUGCCUGACCUACCCUAGAGAAAAUCCUUUUGUCUCAGAGGAUGGGUGUUCAGAACCCUGAGGAGGGAUAUGCCUGGCUCAAGAACCGGUUCCAUAGGGCUUCUUAGGGACCUGAAUCAAGCCAGAGGAUCUGUUCCCUAAGAGUCAGUCCAAGGAGAAUUUCCUUCUGGAAGGAAGCAGAGUGCUUCACAAUGGGUGACAUUGGUGGUGGUCAGGGAGUGCAAUGAAGUCGUCUCAGAAACUGGGCUGUUCUACCACAGGGCCACUGGGGAGCUGUCCAUGGUUUGGGGUAGGCUCCUCACCAGCUCUGGCUGUCUCUCUGACUCUCUGCCAGGGCCCAGUUGACUUGAUAGGCUGUGGAGUCAAAUUGCCUAGAUUUGAAUCCAACUUCCUCUCCCAAGGGCAAGGGACUAAAUUUUGUGUUUCAAUUUAUCUGUCUGUACAAUGUGGAUGGGGAUCUCAAGGACUGUUGUAGGGAUAAAAUGAGUUAAUCAUGCUUCUUGGCAUAUACUAAAUGCCCAGUAAAACUAUCAUCGCCCUCAUCCCCACUCCAAUCCUCACCCCCAGCAACUGGCCCAGGGGACAAAGUCUAUGGCCAGGUAUUCUCCAACCUUUCUUGAUACCCCUGGAGCACAUGGGAAUAAAUAAUGGCGAGAAUCUAUAACCUCUGCAUUUGCAGAUGGGAGGAGCAUUCCCCUCCCUGCUUGCUGAGGAUUUGAAUAUCCUUAACCAACUGACUUUGUUUUAGCGAACCAAGUACUCCUCCAACCCUUGAUGCCCCAAAUACCCUAAUAUCUUCACUUUGGUGCUGCUCAUAUUAAAAUUGUACAUAUAGCAUGGCACUUUAGGAGGCAGUGAGAUCAUGUGUUCAGGAGUUGAGCUCAAAUCCCAGCUUCUGUUGUAUCCUAACCAUGAAAUCUUGAACAAGUUUUAUCUCCUCUCUGAGCCUCAGUUUUCUCAUCUGUAAUACAGGGAAGUGAUAGUACCUAACCUUCUUAGUAUGAGAUAUGCCCAGCUCUUGAUAAAUGUUAGCAAUGUUACCAAA